rnacentral:rRNA from 1 species
UACAGGGGGGGCAAGCGUUGUUCGGAAUUACUGGGCGUAAAGGGCUCGUAGGCGGCCAACUAAGUCACACGUGAAAUCCCCAGGCUUAACCUGGGAACUGCGUGUGAUACUGGAUGGCUUGAAUUCGGGAGAGGGAUGCAGAAUUCCAGGUGUAGCGGUGAAAUGCGUAGAUAUGUGGAGGAACACCAGUGGCGAAGGCGACUUUCUGGCCUAUAACUGACGCUGAGGCGCGAAAGCGUGGGGAGCAAACAGG